UAAAAAUUAUACUGUGAUUAUAUGCUCAACCCAGAAAUGCCACUUUUUAAAACCCAACAAAAAUAUUUACAAAGCAUACAAAAUAUAUGUAAAAACUACUAAUCGUAGUUAUUUGUAGAAAGCAAAACGUGGGGAACAAUUUACCUGUCCCUAUAUCGGAAGGCGAUUGUAUGGUAUUGUGCCUGGCAGAAUUCUAAGGUGAAGCUGCAGUGACCCUGGCCUUGAGCGUGGGUGAGACUUGGAGUGGGAUGGAUUCUAUUCCCCUGAUUAGGUUGUCAGAUGGCACAGCUGACCUUCCGAAAGAGAGGUUAUCCUGAGGGGCCCUGACCUAAGCAGGUGACUCCUCAAAAGGAUUCAGCUCGUCCUAGAAGAAGUGUGAAGCUUGAGGUAUAUUUGUUACUGGCUUUGAAGAUGGAGGGAAUCACCUGGUAAGGAAUGAAGGAAACCUCUAGGAGCUGAGCGGCCCCAGUCGACCGCCAGCAAGGAAGCGAACUUCAGUCCUGAAGCUGCAAGGAAGUGGAUUCUGCCACAGUUUGAAAGAGGUUGGAAGAGGACCCCAAGUCUCAGAUGGGGGGGGGGGGGGCAGCCCUGGGAGACCCUGAGCAGAGGAGCAGCCACACUGUGCGAGACUCCUGAACACAAAAACCGUGAGUUUUUUAAAAAAUAGGUGUUUACUGAAGUAAGCAAGGAUUUGCGGCUGUUUGGAGCCAGAGUGGCAAAUGGAGCCGACUUGGAGACUUCUGGGGCAGAAAUAUGAGUUACAACCCAGAGGCUACUGCAUGAUGCCGAGACAUCACACAGACCACCUCCACGCUCAGAGAGCCGAGGAGCUCUCAGAGUAGACAUGCUAUUGCCUUCGAGCAUGGAAGACAAGGAUACCUGCCACCUCCCACUUUGGACUACACUGGAAAGCUGGAUGGCCAUCAGAAUUUGCCAUCAGUGGACUAAAUGAACAAGCUGGUUACCUCAGUGGAAAUUCCACAAGGAGAUAAAUCCUUUCCUACAACAUCAAUAUUUCAACGGAAUGCUUCCUGGCAUGGAAGUCUCUAAGUAAGCCCCAGUGGCUAGGCCCAAAUUCAAGGAAAGCCCAAAUCUGCAAACUGGAAAAAUGGAAUGGAGAAUGUAAAUACUAUAAAGAGAUGACAUCUGAAACAAUUUCAAAAUAAGAGGCAAUGACUUCUUCAAGUCUUAACUUGAGUCCUUGAGAGCUGAGCUAUUCAGUGAAUUAUAUAUAAAAGCAAUCCCCAGGAAUACAGCCUCCUCCAUGUACUGCUUAGAGCAGCCCAGUAUUCACAGAUGCAUUCAUGCAGCUCAGCAUACCUGUGAAGUAGGACCGUCAUUCCCAUUUUACUAAUUAGGAACAGGCUGAGGUAAAUUAGGAAAUUUACUCAAGGUGCCUUAGCAAGAGUUAUCGUGAGAAGACCUGAACUCCCAAACCUGUGCUUGACACCACACACCAUUCCCUUCUAGAACUUGCUCCCUGGCUCUCAGGUCUUUGAUCUUUUUAAGAUUUUCUAUCUAACCAAGCCCUAGCCUUCUCCUUUAAAUGCUCCCUCUCAAAACAGAGCUCUUUCAUGUGUCAAAGUUUCAACCACAAAGACAAUCACAAAUUACUUGACUUUAACUCCUCUCUCUCAAUCCAAAGGCCAAAUGCAGUAACACUUAUCUUCCCACAGAAUGUCAGAAGGCUCUUAAAAUAGCAAGACUAGCCACUUUUCCAUUAAAGUUUUCUUAUCACCUGAACCAUGCGGUAAGUAUCAGUGUGUCACCGUAAGAGUGGCUUUAACUAUAAGGAAGCAAAAGCUUGCCUGGAAAAUUCUCUGAAACCCUUUCCUUCCUUCCCAGGUUAGCGGCAACAGAGCAGCAGACCACAUGCAGUGGAAAGCAGCACCAGACCAGGCUGAGCCUGACUAGGCUUACUUACCUGUAAACGACGGCAGGGAUGCGCUUCCAGGACCUGAAGCUUGCAACACUCUCUAGUUCUUUGUCAGUGAUCCAGGCAGGCACUAUGAGCUCCUGUGGAUAGCUACCACAUAGCCUAAUGGGGAAGUGGUGACAAGACCAAUGGAAACUGCCUGCCUACAUGAGAACACAAUACCGUCUAAGUAACGCACGCACCUGGAACAACAGAGAUCUGGAGGGGGAUGGAAAGGAAGGUUCCAGAAUCCUAUGAAAUACCACUUUUCCACUCCAGUAACAGCAAUGGGAACAGAAGGCUCAAGAAGUACUCUGAAGACCAUGCAGUUAGAUAUAAUAAAUAAAAUUCCACUGAAAAAAUAGGUCUAUGUCUAAGUUCAAAUGUUCCGCCACAUGAAAACUGGGGUUUCUGCAAAGGCACUGGCUGUGAAGCACAGUCCGUAGGCACCCAUACAACUCACUUGUACUUCUCAUUGAUGUUGGAAAUCCUCCAGGCAUUGUUCAUAUCAAAACCCAUUCGCUCCACUUCGUUUUUAAACCUUGACGUUACAUGCUCCCCUAGGGGCCAAGGACAGCAGAAAGAAAGAAAUGAAUACCAUUUUGCAAAACAGGUAGAAUAAAAGCAUAGCUACCCUGCUCAGUUAUAUAAAUAACAUGUACUUAGUUUUAGUUUAAAAAGUCCCUGUCAGGGUAAGACUAUACAAAGGAAUGAGGAAAUUAAUUUUUAAUAGAAAUAUAGCUAAUCC